UCCGGUUUGGCACCGGCAGUCUUCCUAGAGUCCCCGGCUUUACCCGCUGGCAACAUGAGACAAGGGUUGCGCUCGUUGCGGGACUUAACCCAACAUCUCACGACACGAGCUGACGACAGCCAUGCACCACCUGCACACAGGCCACAAGGGAACGACUAUCUCUAGCCGCGUCCUGUGCAUGUCAAACCCAGGUAAGGUUCUUCGCGUUGCAUCGAAUUAAUCCACAUGCUCCGCCGCUUGUGCGGGCCCCCGUCAAUUUCUUUGAGUUUUAGCCUUGCGGCCGUACUCCCCAGGCGGGGUACUUAAUGCGUUAGCUACGGCACGGAUCCCAAGGAAGGAAACCCACACCUAGUACCCACCGUUUACGGCGUGGACUAC
rnacentral:misc_RNA from 1 species